rnacentral:ncRNA from 1 species
GAGGAGUAAAACUAAUAACGCACAACAAACCCUAAUUAGGGUCACCAAUAUAUACCGCGGGUUACGAGAGAUGGUGCAUGGCUGUCGUCACCUCGUGCCGUAAGGUGUUAGGUUAAGUCUCGCAGCUAGCGCAACCCUCGUGUUUAGUUGCCACUAUGAGUUUGGAACCUGUUAAGCCGAAGGAAGGAGAGGAUGAGGCCAAGUCAUCAUGCCCUUAUGCCCUGGGCGGCACACGUGCUACAAUGGGCGGGACAAAGAGUCGUGAUCUCGCGAGGGUGAGCUAACUUCAAAAACCCGUUCUAAGUUCGGAUUUGUAGGCUGCAACCCGCUUGCAUGGAGCAAGGAUCGCUAGUAAUCACCGAUCAGCCAUAUGAUGAUG